rnacentral:lncRNA from 1 species
AUCAGCUCGGCCAGCGUCCCUUGCUCGAAGAGGGCUGAGCAGGCGAUCACCUCGGGCAGUGUCCCUCUCCCUGUCCCUUGCUCGAAGAGGUUCAGUUUGGUCGAGAUAGGUUUCUCUCCUCUCAUAGAGAGACGCAAUGUCCCUCCUCAGAUUCGACAGGUAUGUGCUGGAGGCAGACGCCGGAGGGGCACCAUAGCUGUAGGGGUAAUAUCGGUCUCUCAAGUACGGCUCCAAUGAUGAAGCAGGUGGAGACCGAAUCGACGUAGGAGGAGCUCCUCCUCCAUAGUGGUGGAGGUCGCUUCUACCCCCGAUGUCUUGUUGGCGAAGGUUGAAGAGGGGAUGAUGAUCCACUUCUCUGCCGAUCGCCAAAGGAUGAUCCCUGUAAUUCGGCGGUGGC